AACCAAUCAGAGUAUCGAACGC
rnacentral:miRNA from 1 species